UACAGAGGUCCCAAGCGUUGUUCGGAUUCACUGGGCGUAAAGGGUGCGUAGGCGGUCGGGUAAGUCUGAUGUGAAAUCUUACAGCUUAACUGUGAAACUGCAUUGGAUACUAUCCGGCUCGAGGAAUGGAGGGGAGACUGGAAUACUUGGUGUAGCAGUGAAAUGCGUAGAUAUCGGGAGGAACACCUGUGGCGAAAGCGGCGCACUGGACCACAACUGACGCUGAGGCGCGAAAGCUAGGGGAGCAAACAG
rnacentral:rRNA from 1 species